rnacentral:rRNA from 1 species
CAGUAGCCACGGUAAUACGCAGGGUGCGAGCGUUGUCCGGAAUUACUGGGCGUAAAGGGCUCGUAGGUGGUUUGUCGCGUCGUCUGUGAAAUUCUGGGGCUUAACUCCGGGCGUGCAGGCGAUACGGGCAUAACUUGAGUGCUGUAGGGGUAACUGGAAUUCCUGGUGUAGCGGUGAAAUGCGCAGAUAUCAGGAGGAACACCGAUGGCGAAGGCAGGUUACUGGGCAGUUACUGACGCUGAGGAGCGAAAGCAUGGGUAGCGAACAGGAUUAGAUACCCCGGUAGUCCCUGUCUCUUAUA